rnacentral:misc_RNA from 1 species
GAACUGGUGUUAACAAGAAGUUGGAGCUAAAGAGAACUCUGGAGUCUAUGGAUUACAAGUUGAGUAGAACUAGAAUCAGUAUAUGAGAUGCAAGUUUAUCAAUGAAUUGACAAGUGAUUGAAGUGUGGUUAGCAUAGAUGGCUAAUAGUCCAAUAUAGCCUCACACUUUAAAUACCUGGGAUCUAUAAUGUCCAACAUAGGGUGAAAUGAGGACAUCAAUCAUAGGAUAAAGUAGGACGUAUGUGCAAAACAUGACGAUGGACGAGAUAAAAAAAUUAAUGCAUUCAUGGGAAGGAGAGAGUAGCAUCUUCCAGUAACAAACAAGGGAAAACAAUAGAAUAUAUAGCAAGGGCAAGCCAAGCCAAAUUAACUUAAGCCAUUUUGAUAGAGGC